ensembl:lncRNA uncharacterized LOC115006607
AAAAGUAUUAAAGGCGACCGAGGUGACCGACCGAGGCGGAAACAACUUAUUACAAUGGUAACGACCACGGCAACACACCAUAAGAACCGCGCUGCAAACAUGAACUCGAUAGUUGAUCCAGUGCGUUUGAUAAUUUUCUAUCUGCUAUUUGUGAAUGUGAUGUCUGCACCUGCAGCAAAUUCUCCAUCAGCUCUAACCUGCGACGUCACUCAACAACCGAAUGGGUUAUAUCUCUACCAACUCUCCCGUGCUCCCAGUUCAUCCAACUGUAGCACAUGCUGGGAGGACCGCGAGGAAAUCAUUGCCCGGGACUCUAAAUUUAAUAAACCAGUCCAGUUCCUGACCAACCAGUCAAUCACGCUGAAUGAAUGCAAGGACUACCUGCACUACACACAGGACUGUACGUCGACUUCAGCCACCCCACGGACCCACUCCAAAGCCCUGGGCUUUGAGGAAGCCCACUGCAAAAUCAACUGCAGCCACCUCAUGGACCCUCUCUCAACCCCGGUGAACUCUACGUUGAGUGUGCCCAGGCAGAACCAUGUUCAUGAUGGCAUCGGAUAUUCUCUUGUAGUCGUAGUCGUAGUCGGAGUCGUAGUCGGAGUCGUAGUCGUAGUCCUCGGGGUUCUGUUCUACAAAAGGAAGAGAAAAGAAUCUCUGGACAACAGAGUUUCAUACACUCCUGCAAUUGGACAGAUUAACAUCGAGGGACAGGAGAUGGCGGAAGUCUAAACUAGAUGUAAACCGACUCCUGACUAGUAAAGUGUGUGUGUGUGUGUGUGUGUGUGUGUGUGUGUGUGUGUGUGUGUGUGUGUGUGUGUGUGUGUGUGUGUGUGUGUGUGUGUGUGUGUCGUAUAUGCAUUGUUUUUUAAAGAAAGAAAAUUAGUUUCUGUUUUUAAAAUGGUGCUUUUGGAGCCAGAUUUUCUUUUCAAUCCAUUUUUCUAUGGAUUUCCAUUUGAAAUGAGCUUCAGUGUUUAACCUGGUCUGUGGAUGGACCAGGACAAACAUUUCGGAGGGUCCAAAAUAAUCCGUCCUCUGGACAGAGCAGGACUAUCGGUUUCCCCGUUUCCAGUCUAUGCUAAGCUAGGUUUACCGGACUGCUUUGCUUUUAAAGGCUUUGAAAAAAGCGGGACCAACUCUAAGCUUGUUUUCAAAAAAGAUACCAAGAUUACAGUGAUGUUUGUGGUAAUUAAAAGAUGAAUGAAAGUUUAUUUAUACUUCGAUCGUCUCACAGCUGAUUGCAAAUCACGUCACAUAUGGAGCAGCAGUUUCUGCCCCUCAGCACUUCUCUCCCAGCAGCAUCUUAAGUAAAACUUGAGAACGCAUUGUGACGUUAGUCAACCGUUUUUAAUGUUUAAGGAGUUGUUCAAGAAAGUCACACUUUCCCGAGUAUCAGACUGCUGUCAUUUUAGUGUGUUACAUUUUCAAUCCACAUCUCCUCUGGGACCAUGUGCAUGUCAAAUGGUUAUUAAAAUACACUGUCAGUCUUUGCUUCCAGUGUUUACGCUGGAAGAAUGUGGAAACCACCAGAUUUCUCCCAAACUAUCCAGGAAAGACAACUUCUGAAUAAAUCAGAGGCUACAAAUAGGUUGUGAUGUUGCAGAAUCCCGUUUCCAGACUUGAUUCUUCCAGCCAUAACUGGUUGCCAGAUGUAGUCUGGUUGUAAAGGAGCUGGUCUGGCUGUAGUUUAGCUCCUUAGCUGAACUCAAGAUUUAGUGCCCUGACACACCAAGCUGACUUCAAAGAAUUGAUGCCGUUAAAAGACGACAGAUCAACACUUGGCAUCUUUGCCGUCACCUGAAAAGUCGAAAAGUCCAGGUCGUUUUAGUAGAGACUUCUGUAUAUAAUGAAGCAUCUGAACAAUCGGAAAACGGUUAAAUCUCUUCUUCCAAUUCAUGAUUUAGUUAUCCUCAUUUACAUAUUUUUCUGUUUCUGUUGUCCGACAACUUAACAAGCACAAAAUAAUGAUUUAUUGUCAUUUCCAAGCUGCUGCACUGCUGAAAUCAUUAUUGUAUAUGUGUAUACAUAUACUGUAUAUAUCGCAACAAAGGUUAACAUCAAUCCAGGUUAAUUACAACAGCUUAAAAUGGAUCGAUCACAGAGGUACUUAGUAAGUCAGGCCCCCAGAACCCCAACCUCAACCCCAACCCUAGACUCGACCGCGGUGGUCAGCCAUAAACGUCCAACCUGAACAGUCCCCUAUAACCACUGGUUGGCUUGGUGUAUCAGGGCUUUCAGCUCCAGCGACUGCAACAAUCCAAACAGGCUUCGUAUCCUAAAUCCCAAAUGUCACCAAAAAAUCCAUAGACCAUAAAAUGAUCCAUGGUUGACAAAUAAGGGAAUGGAAAUUUAAAAAAGGAAGAGAACUUUCAAUCAGGUUAUCUGACGUAACGCCACAAGAUGUGGACUGUCAGAGCUCCUAUUGAUCGACAGUGCUACUGAUCUUCCACUGUGGAAGUUGGGAGAUUUGUUUAUUAGCUUAUAAUAAAUAAAUAUAAAUAUAUAUAAAUGUGUAUAUAUAUAUUACCUGAUCGAGUUUCUGUAUUGUACAGAACGGUUGUAGACUGACUGCACGAACAUGAAGUUUGUGCGCAGGUCAGUUGUUACGUUUGAUCUCUGGACUCUGGACUCUGGUAUGACCAGAAAUCAGCUUCAUGUUUUUACACGAGAUCCCUGAUAGAUCCAAAGCUCUUUAUUCUGCUCUUUUUAUUUCUUCUUUCAUGUCAUUUUAUAUGAUUUGAUUUAUUGUGUUUUUGUUGGCUCAUUGUUCUAGCUUAUCCUCCUCUUUCUGUGACUCCUUUUAAAAUGCAGUUUCAUUAGAUCUAUUACAUUACAUUGCAGUUAAUUUAGCUGACACUUUUGUUGAUCUAUUCAUCAUAUAAACAAAUUGAUUAAUGCAGCUUUAAAGACAGGAAACUACUGGUCAGGUUUUUUUGCUUAUAUUUUUAAGAAUGAAUGAAAAUAUGAACUUUGACCCCUUUCUUUCCUUUGAUCAUGUAAAUUGUUUGUGUAUGAUUCUUUAUUGUUUUUAGAACAAAUCAGAGUUAAUGGCUAUGAAAUGAUGUUGCUUGCAGUUUAUUGGUAUGGCUUUAUGCAAAUCUUUUCUGGUGAAUAAAAUUAUUUUGAAUGGCUCAAUUGUAUUUAUUUGACAGUAAAUGA